rnacentral:rRNA from 1 species
AUUGAACGCUGGCGGCAUGCCUUACACAUGCCAGUCGAACGGCAGCACGGGUGCUUGCACCUGGUGGCGAGUGGCGAACGGGUGAGUAAUACAUCGGAACAUGUCCUGUAGUGGGGGAUAGCCCGGCGAAAGCCGGAUUAAUACCGCAUACGAUCUACGGAUGAAAGCGGGGGACCUUCGGGCCUCGCGCUAUGGGGUUGGCCGAUGGCUGAUUAGCUAGUUGGUGGGGUAAAGGCCUACCAAGGCGACGAUCAGUAGCUGGUCUGAGAGGACGACCAGCCACACUGGGACUGAGACACGGCCCAGACUCCUACGGGAGGCAGCAGUGGGGAAUGUUGGACAAUGGGCGAAAGCCUGAUCCAGCAAUGCCGCGUGUGUGAAGAAGGCCUUCGGGUUGUAAAGCACUUUUGUCCGGAAAGAAAUCCUUGGCUCUAAUACAGUCGGGGGAUGACGGUACCGGAAGAAUAAGCACCGGCUAACUACGUG